rnacentral:rRNA from 1 species
CCUACGGGCGGCAGCAGUGGGGAAUAUUGCACAAUGGGGGAAACCCUGAUGCAGCGACGCCGCGUGAGUGAAGAAGUAAUUCGUUAUGUAAAGCUCUAUCAGCAGGGAAGAAAAGGACGGUACCUGAGGAAGAAGCCCCGGCUAACUACGUGCCAGCAGCCGCGGUACUGCGUAGGGAGCAAGCGUUAUCCGGAUUUACUGGGUUUAAAGGGAGCGUAGACGGCAGUGUAAGUCUGGAGUGAAAGGCGGGGGCUCAACCCUCGGAGUGCUCUGGAAACUGUACGGCUGGAGUGCGGGAGAGGUAAGUGGAAUUCCUGGUGUAGCGGUGAAAUGCGUAGAUAUUAGGAGGAACACCAGUGGCGAAGGCGGCUUACUGGACUGUAACUGACGUUGAGGCUCGAAAGCGUGGGGAGCAAACAGGAUUAGAUACCCGAGUAGUC